rnacentral:rRNA from 1 species
UACGAGGGGGGCGAGCGUUGUUCGGAAUUAUUGGGCGUAAAGGGCGCGUAGGCGGUCGGAUAAGUCUUGUGUGAAAUCUUCGGGCUCAACUCGAAGUCUGCACAGGAAACUAUCUGGCUUGAGUGUGGGAGAGGUGAGUGGAAUUCCUGGUGUAGCGGUGAAAUGCGUAGAUAUCAGGAGGAACACCUGUGGCGAAAGCGGCUCACUGGACCACAACUGACGCUGAGGCGCGAUAGCGUGGGGAUCAAACAGG